GGGCCCGCACAAGCGGAGGAACAUGUGGUUUAAUUCGAUGAUACGCGAGGAACCUUACCCGGGCUUAAAUUGCAUAUGAAUAACUUGGAAACAGGUUAGCCGCAAGGCAUAUGUGAAGGUGCUGCAUGGUUGUCGUCAGCUCGUGCCGUGAGGUGUCGGCUUAAGUGCCAUAACGAGCGCAACCCUUGUGAUUAGUUACUAACAGGUCAUGCUGAGGACUCUAAUCAGACUGCCAUCGUAAGAUGCGAGGAAGGUGGGGAUGACGUCAAAUCAGCACGGCCCUUACGUCCGGGGCUACACACGUGUUACAAUGGGGGGUACAGAGGGUCGCUACCUGGUGACAGGAUGCUAAUCCAUUAAAACCUCUCUCAGUUCGGAUCGAAGUCUGCAACCCGACUUCGUGAAGCUGGAUUCGCUAGUAAUCGCGCAUCAGCCACGGCGCGGUGAAUACG
rnacentral:rRNA from 1 species